rnacentral:rRNA from 1 species
UACGAAGGGGGGCUAGCGUUGCUCGGAAUCACUGGGCGUAAAGGGUGCGUAGGCGGCCUUGUAAGUCAGUGGUGAAAGCCUCCAGCUCAACUGGAGAACUGCCAUUGAUACUGCAAGGCUUGAGUACAGACGAGGUUGGCGGAAUUGAUUGUGUAGCGGUGAAAUGCAUAGAUACAAUCAAGAACUCCGAUUGCGUAGGCAGCUAACUAGGCUGUAACUGACGCUGAGGCACGAAAGCGUGGGGGAGCGAACAGG